UACGAAGGGGGCGAGCGUUGUUCGGAAUUACUGGGCGUAAAGGGCGCGCAGGCGGCCGAUCAAGUCAGGCGUGAAAGCCCCGGGCUUAACCUGGGAAUUGCGCUUGGGACUGAUGGGCUUGAGUUCGGGAGAGGAGAGUGGAAUUCCCAGUGUAGAGGUGAAAUUCGUAGAUAUUGGGAAGAACACCGGUGGCGAAGGCGGCUCUCUGGACCGAUACUGACGCUGAGGCGCGAAAGCGUGGGGAGCAAACAGG
rnacentral:rRNA from 1 species